UUGUGGCACCAACCGGGACUAAAGGGGGGCAUUGGUCCCGGUUGGUGCCACGAACCGGUACCAAAGCACCCCUUUAGUCCCGGUUGGUGCCACCAA
rnacentral:pre_miRNA from 1 species